AUGGACCGGGCCAGGCUCGAGAGCUGGGUCCGGGCGCUCGCCCAGGGAUGGGGCCCCGACGGCCCAGGCCGCUACCAGCGCCGCACCAAAGACGACCUCAUCGACAAGAUUGACCUCGACAUGCUGGCCGACGACGGUGCUGCCUCCGAAGAGGAGGAGGAGAAAAAGGCCGUGGUGCCUCGCAAGACGCCCAAGCAGAGGAAGAGGCGCACAAAAGCCCCCACUCCCAAGGACAAGGAGGAGGAGGAGAUGGCACACAAGACGCCCAAGCAGAGGAGGCGCGCCAAAGCCUCGCUCCUGGACUCCGAGGAGGAGGAGGAGGAGCAGAAACUCAGCAGCCAGAACAACAAGGAUGAGAGCGGCACUGCCCUGUCUGGGAGGCGCGAGCGCAAGAAGAGCAAGUAUCUCUCACCGCCCUACACCAACAUCGGCGUGUUUGCUCUCGAGGACAAGUCCCCAGAUGAUUCGCCAAAGAAGUCGCCGCCCGCCAGAGCUGCUAACAAGGAUGAGAGGAAGAAUAACAAGGCGUCACCAGAGGAGAAGCAGCAGCACAAGAAGAAGACCAAGGUGGUGCCGCCGCCGCUUCCGCUGGACAAUGUCAAUGCUCAGGAGGUCCUGCUGCUGCUGCGCUGCUUCGGGGAGGACGUCUCUCACAAGAGGCACUUCCCCAAGGCCGCUGAGGACUUCCUUGGCCUGCUCAGGAGCUCCGUGUUCGCCGAGGGUGCUCACCAUGACUCCUACAAGGACCAUGAAUGCCCGGUGGCCAAGAAUGCUGUUGAGAAAGCUGCUGCUGCUGCAGAUGUCCUGGUUUCAGAUUCAGCUGCUACUCCGAAACAAGGCAAGGGUAAGCGUGGUAGAAAGAAGAAGGAUCAGGAUGGCAGUGCCGAUUCUUCUUCUAUCAAGAAGAAGAAGAAGAAGAAGACGGCCGCUCUUGACUGUGCAGCGGAGGAUGCUUCUGAGGAGAAUAAGAAAGCGGAGGAUGCUUCUGAGGAGAAUAAGAAAGAGGAGAAUGUUUCUGAGAAAAAGAAGAGGGGCAGAAGGAAGAAGGAGCAGGAUGGAACCUCCCCAAAAGGCUCUGCUAUCAAGAGGAAGAAGAUGGACAAAACCUCCCCAAAAGCAACUCUUGGGCCUGCCUCCGGCUCUGGCUUGGUUAUCACGCCCGCUAUUCCUAUCAGGCAGGUGAGUGCUCAAGAUAUCAUGGGCCAAGUCAAACCAGGAGCUGGGGUUCCUGAUCCCAUGAUGAAGAACAACUUGUUGGUGUCCAAGAGCCCGAUUUCAGCCAUAAUGUCUGGAGGAGUAAAAUCUGGAGAGGAGCAGGACCAAGGAGACACUGGAUCAGUUGUGAAUGCUUCAUCUGACCAAUCUGCCAAAAACAAUGAGGAAGCAACAAAGCCAGAAACUGAUAUGAAUGUGGAUACUCUUGACAGAGAUGUGCCUGUGGGAAGUGGUGCCCAGACUGAAGUUACCACGCCUAUGAAUGUGGAUAUGAAUGUGGAUACUCUUAGCGGAGAUGUUGCCCUGGCUGAAGUGACGAUGCCUGAAGCGACAAAGCCUGAAACUGGUGGUAUUCAGGUAGACAUGAAUGUGGAAUGCAUUGGUGUUGUAGAUGUGCCUGUCACAAGUGUCCAGAUGGAAGCAAUGGAGCUGGAAGCUAGUAUUCCUGUAGUGGAUAUAAAUGAACAAAUUGCGGCCGUGGAAGAUGUGCCUGCUACAAGUGGCUGGCUUCCACCUAUGCAUGGAGAUGUCAUAUCCCAGCCCGCCCAUGGAAACAAAGACAAUGCAAGUGUGCAAGGGCGUGCAGUCCAAGAAUCCUACACAUCUCUGAUUAAGGCGAUGGUGCCGGAUAUGUACAAGAAAGUGGAGGAGGUUGCUGCUGGAACAGGUGUCGUCGCGGCGCCUCAAGAUGAGGCUCAAAAGGUUGAAGAGACUAGCCAGAUGAAGGCAGUUGCUGAUGGAGCUAGCCAUUCUUCUCCUGCAAAAGGCACUAGUAGUGGUGCUACCAAUGGGAGCCCCUGCCCUGAUGCGCCCAACUCUGCCCAGAAGAGGAGAAACAAGAAGCCUGCAGCAGCAUACUUUGCCAACCCAGCAGAGCUCCGGGUGAAAUUCUUGGACGGCACCAUGGUCCCCACCAAGGAGGAGCUGCUCUCGGAGUUCCGCAGGUUUGGCGUCCUGGUGGAGUCGGAGUGCGACAUAUCAGAAGAGCGCCGCGACGCGCGCGUGGUGUUUGGGAAGAGCACCGAGGCGGAGGCGGCCUACACCAAGGCGGAGAUCCCAGGCAUCUUUGGCCAGUUCGGGCCCCCCUGGGCCACCCUGGGGCUCAACUACCUGGAGGCGAUCACGCUUGCACCUGCCCGUCCUGCCAAGCCCCCGCUGGCUCGUGCUGACAUGAGGAAGAACGUGGAGAACAUGAUCUCGUCCCUGAAGAACGGGGGGCGAUCUUUGCCGCUCAACGUCGGAGCGGCCGCUCCCGCUGGAGGAGCGGCGCCCGUGUCGGCGGGCCUCCUUGCUGAGAUGCAGCGGCUCCUGUCCAAGCUUGACAAGCCGCAGCCGGCCCCUGGGCCUUCGGGCUCGGCUCCUCCGCCGUCGUCGUAG
rnacentral:rRNA from 1 species